GAACAACCCAAAAGCUCUGCUGGGCUGGAGAAAUGCUCGGAGUUGGCUCACCUGUGAAAGACAGUUAAGGCCACAACUGCUUUGAUGGGAACAGAAUGAAACCGGAAAGGGAAGCAUAGGAACAGGAGAAAUAAGAACUUUUAAAGAGAAAGAACCCGAGCUGGUCUUCACAGCUACCCUCCAGCCCCACAUGCACACUCCAUACAGCUGGUGCCUUAUAAAUACAACCAACAAAUCUA